GCGACGUCAGGGCCGUGACUCAGCCCGCGGGAUGAGGCCCCGCGCCGCCCCGGCCCUACAAAAGGCGGAGGAGCCGCCGGAGGCCUCAGAGCGCCCGCCGCCAUGGCCGCCUUCGGCCUCCUCCUCCUCCUCCUCCUCGGCACCGCCGAAGCGGCCCUGAAGCCCCGUCACCCCGUGGCGCAGGAGCAGCUGAUCCCACAGCAUCCCUAUGACAUCCAGCAGGUGAUGCAGGAGGAGCAGGACAUCGAGCUGCCCCCCGAGGUGGUGUCGGCGGCCAAAAACCCCCCCAGACCCCGGGCGCCAUCGUCCCAGGAUUCCAUCGACGCCAUCGGGGCCUCGUCGUGGGGCAGCACCUUGGAGGGUUUCCCCCCCCGCUUGGCCCCUUCCCGACGCCUUGGCCCAGCACUGCCGCGCCCCCGCUCUGUUCCCCCGAGCCCCCCGGCCCUCGUUGCCCCCCGCCGCCUUCGCCCACCUCCGCCGCCAGGUGGACGCCCUCGACGCCUUCUGGCCUCGCCUCGACGGCUGCUGCCGCCGCCCGGCCCCGCUGCCCUGUGCCCGCCGCGCCUGGACCGAUGUCCUGAACAGCUUCUGCGACGACGAAUUUGGGGUGAAAACGCGCCAAUUCCACUGCUGCCGCCGGCACGGGGCCGCGCGGCGCCGCUGCUUCACCGACGCCACCGCCGCCGCCACCGCCGCCACCCACGUCACCCAAGUGACCGAGGUGACCGUGUGGGACGUGGCCCACGAGCCUUCCUUCCCCCCCGGCGAGCCCACGGCCGCCAACAUGGACAACAUCUGCCGCCUGCGGGGGCUGCGGCCCGGCCCCCGCGGCCUCCCCGGGCCCCGCGCCCGCUUCUACACCCGCCUGGAGCGCGACUUCGGCCGCUGCUGCGACAACGGCACCGGGCUCGCCUGCGCCCGUGCAGCUUGGCAGAAGGGCCUGGAUCGCUACUGCCGGGAGGAAGGGGCGGUGAAGACGGGGCAGCACCGCUGCUGCCAGCGGGGGGGGGGGGCCGUGCCCGCAGCCGCUGCUUCGCCGCCGCCGCCCCCCACCCUGCCUACGACCGCGAGCUGCACAACGUCAGCCUGGCCCGGCUGGGCCCCGCCAUGCUCCGAACCCUCUGCGGCCCCAUCAGGCUGCUCAGCAAGAGGUGGGUGUGGGGGGGGCACCCGUAAACCCGGGACCCCCUCCUCAUAACCCCGGGACCCCCUCCUCAUAACCCCAGGACCCCCCCCUCACUCAUCCCAUAACCCUGGGACCCCCUCCUCAAAACCCUGGGACCCCCCUCCCUCACCCCAUAACCCCGGGACCCCCUCCCCAUAACCCCAGGACCUCCUCCCCAUAGCCCCAGGACCCUAUCCCCAUAAUCCCAGGACCCCCCCCAUAACCUUGGGACCCUCUC
rnacentral:lncRNA from 1 species